GUAGGUGGCAAGCGUUGUCCGGAAUUAUUGGGCGUAAAGCGCGCGCAGGCGGGUUUUUUAAGUCUGAUGUGAAAGCCCACGGGCUCAACCGUGGAGGGUCAUUGGAAACUGGAGAACUUGAGUACAGAAGAGGAAUGCGGAAUUCCACGUGUAGCGGUGAAAUGCGUAGAGAUGUGGAGGAACACCAGUGGCGAAGGCGGCUUUCUGGUCUGUAACUGACGCUGAGGCGCGAAAGCGUGGGGAGCAAACAGGAUUAGAUACCCUGGUAGUCCACGCCGUAAACGAUGAGUGCUAAGUGUUAGGGGGUUUCCGCCCCUUAGUGCUGCAGCUAACGCAUUAAGCACUCCGCCUGGGGAGUACGGCCGCAAGGCUG
rnacentral:rRNA from 1 species